GCCUUUUGAAGUCUGAACUCUGGCUGACAGAACGUAAGAGGUAGGUGUGUUCUGUGAACACGUGCCACUGCACCAUUAGUUCCUGCCUGGCCUUGACCCCAACACGUUCUCUGCUUACCUGGACCAGGGACAGAAGAAGAUCUUCCUGCUAUAAUGCCAGGGCCCAGUACCCACACUAGGGGCCUGUGGUGCCCAAGGUGUCUCCGGCCAGGCCUAUGCCUGAGAGUUAAGAGAGGACACAGCAAC
rnacentral:lncRNA from 1 species